UGAAGUUUUAUAACAAAAAUACAGAAAAACCCAUCAGCCACCACGCCUCUGCACCCACCCAACCCAGUGAGCCGCCCACCACCCAGUGGCCGGCAAACCCUCCCUUCUCGAUUCCGGCAAAAGCUCAUCCUUUGAACCUUCUGCCUCUUCCUCUCACCUUUUCUUAUCUACCCAGCGAAAGCAAACCCAACACAAACCCACAACAUCUCCAUGGCUAAGUUGAGAAAACCGAAUUGAUUUGUGCCGCCGCCGCCGCCGCCGCCUUCAGAGACGAAUAUCUCUCGUCAACAGAAGCUCAGAUUCCCCAAUUCCUUCGGCAUCAAUCAGGUUUAAUUGCUUACUAUUUGUUCAAUGGGGUUUACAAGAACUGACUGAAAAGAAGGAACAGAUUAUGGCUUUCAUAGGACUUUGUCAUUCACUUGAAACCCCAUGGCGGAUCUUGGAUAUGAUCAUGUUCGAGUGUCACACAAAUAAGCACUUUCCCACAAAGUCUGAUAAAUAAAACAGGGGCUUAAAAUGGGAGCUGCUGCUUUGUCAGCUUCAAAGUGUGCUCCAGAUGGGCAGCAAAGUUGUUUUAAAACCAGUAACUUGUCCUCCAUAUCUUCUCCUACUACAAAGAUGUUCAAGCUUGGACGAAUUUAAGAAAAUUCAUGCCCAUGCAGUCACUACUGGUCUUGCUCGUUUUGCCUACACUGCCAGCAAGCUCAUAGCCUUCUCUGCAUUAUCAGAACAUGGUAAUAUGCACUACGCUGAGACACUGUUACACCAAAUUCCAAGACCCAAUGUAUUUGAUUACAAUUCCAUGAUAAUGGGUUUCUUGAAAAGCUCAGAAUCUGAAAAGGGUCUCUCCAUUUACCCCAGAAUGAGAAGGAUAGGCACAGAGCCAAACGCUCGUACUUUCACCUUUUUAGUUAAAGCAUGUUUUGAUGUAUCUUUGCUUGGUCAGGUACAUGGUCAAAUAAUGAAGUUUGGGCAUGGGUGUGAUGUUUAUGUUAUUAGCUCACUUAUUAGGGCCUCCUGUCGAUGUGAAGCUGUGGAAUUUGCUCGUAGAGUGUUUGAGGAAAGUUUGGAUAAGAAUGUGGUUUGUUGGACUAGUCUUAUUAGUGGAUAUUGUAGUAAUGGGCUGGUUCAUGAAGCUCGUGAUCUGUUUGAUGCAAUGCCAGAUAUAAAUGAUGUUUCUUAUAGUGCAAUGGUUUCUGGGUAUGUUGGGAAUGCUUGUUUCAAUGAAGCAAUUGACCUGUUUCGUCAAUUGAAAAGCCAUACACAAGUGAGGCUCAAAGAGUCUCUUUUGGUUAGCACUCUUAAUGCUUGUGCGUCUGUGGGUGCCUUUGAAGAAGGGAAGUGGAUUCAUUCGUUUUUGGAAGAAAAUGGUUUUGAGUAUGGACUUGAGCUUGGUACUGCACUAGUAGAUUUUUAUGCAAAAUGUGGAUGUAUUAAAGACGCACAAGACGUGUUUAGCAGGAUGCCUCGUAAAGAUGUAACUACUUGGAGUGCUAUGAUCAUGGGAUUUGCCAUCAAUGGUGAGAAUGAUAUGGGGCUUGAGCUUUUUGCAGAAAUGGAAAAGAAAGGACCUAAACCAAAUGCAGUGACAUUUGUUGGAGUACUCACUGCAUGUAAUCACAAAAUUCUGGUAAAUGAAGCAUGGCGGUUAAUAGGACGCAUGAGUAAGGUUUAUGGCAUUGCUCUGGGGAUUGAGCACUAUGGCUGCAUGGUUGAUCUCUUGGCCUGUGCUGGGAAACUGAAUGAAGCUGAGAUAUUGAUAAGAAGUAUGGCAAUGAAACCGGACGGUGCUAUUUGGGGGUCUUUGUUUAAUGGAUGUCUGAUACAUGACCAUGUUGACUUAGGGGCGAGGGUGGGGAAGCUUUUGAUUGAAUUAGAGCCUCAACAUAGUGGUAGGUAUGUUCUUCUGGCCAACAUGUAUGCCAAAAUGGGCAACUGGGAGGAUGUGACGAGGCUAAGGAAAAUGAUGAGAGAUAGAGAAGUAGUUACAAUUUCUGCUUGGAGCUUCAUUGAGACUGAUGGUAUUGUCCAUAAAUUUAUAGCAGACGAUAAGUCUCAUUCCCAUUCGAGAAAGAUAAACAGAACCUUAAACCAACUCAGCAGGGCACUUGAAAGUUUUUCCAUUGCCGGUGACGCAUCGUUACUUUAAAGAAAUCAUUAUCUUGGAAAUGGAAGGACCAAUCCGCAGGCAAGUCAAUCCUGUCUUUUCGAAGACGCAUCUAGCUACAAUCUUUACGUUGAAUACUACAGCCUAGCUGAGUUGAGUUCUGGCAAACAUAACUCAAGCAUGCGAGUGAUAUGCUGUUGUAUUUAGCUCAGACGCCUGCCUCCUUUGGUGUGUCUAAUUCAACUUGCGUUCGCAGCAAAGAAAGGUUGUUGAAAUUCCUGUGUUCCCAAUCAGCUAUUUUAAAGUUUUCUCCACAUCCAUGAGAAGGCAGUUGCAGAAAUGAGUCGUACAUCUUCCUAAUAUUUAAUUCCCACGGUUACUCUGAUGUCUGCAAAACUGGCUAUGAGGUACCGUUUGGUAUAUGGGACGGGACGGAAUGGAGUGGGACGAGGCGUUCCGUCCCACGUUUGGUGCGCCUAAAACAGAUGGAAUGCGCUGUUCCACGGGACGAAUUUUUGGUGGAUUUUCGUUUCACCUCACCCUCUUGAACGACUCGUUCCACAUCCGUGCAACACAAAAUUAUAACCUCUCUGUCUCCUUCUUCUUCCUCCUUGUUUCCAUCCGAGUGCAUCUUUACUUCCUCUUCGUUCCGGAUCAUCCUGUCUCGUCCCGUCCCGUUCCGUCUGCAUACCAAACGAUACCUGA